AGUGAACGCUGGCGGUAGGCCUAACACAUGCAAGUCGAACGGCAGCACAGUAAGAGCUUGCUCUUACGGGUGGCGAGUGGCGGACGGGUGAGGAAUACAUCGGAAUCUACUUUUUCGUGGGGGAUAACGUAGGGAAACUUACGCUAAUACCGCAUACGACCUACGGGUGAAAGCAGGGGAUCUUCGGACCUUGCGCGAUUGAAUGAGCCGAUGUCGGAUUAGCUAGUUGGCGGGGUAAAGGCCCACCAAGGCGACGAUCCGUAGCUGGUCUGAGAGGAUGAUCAGCCACACUGGAACUGAGACACGGUCCAGACUCCUACGGGAGGCAGCAGUGGGGAAUAUUGGACAAAGGGCGCAAGCCUGAUCCAGCCAUACCGCGUGAGUGAAGAAGGCCUUCGGGUUGUAAAGCCCUUUUGUUGGGAAAGAAAAGCAGCAGGUGAAUACCCCGCUGUUCUGACGGUACCCAAAGAAUAAGCACCGGCUAACUUCGUG
rnacentral:rRNA from 1 species